AUUGAACGCUGGCGGCAUGCCUUACACAUGCAAGUCGAACGGCAGCACGGGGCAACCUGGUGGCGAGUGGCGAACGGGUGAGUAAUGCAGCGGAAAGUACGUUUCAGUGGGGGAUAACGUAGCGAAAGUUAGGAUAAUACCGCAUAUUCUGUGAGAAGGAAAGAAGGGGAUGGUAAGACCUUGCGUUGAUUGAGCGGCCGAUGUCAGAUUAGCUAGUGGGUGGGGUAAAGGCGCACAAAGGCGACGAUGUGUAGCGGGUCUGAGAGGAUGAUCCGCCACACUGGAACUGAGACACGGUCCAGACUCCUACGGGAGGCAGCAGUGGGUAAUUUUGGACAAUGGGGGCAAGCCUGAUCCAGCCAUGCCGCGUGUCUGAAGAAGUCCUUCGGGUUGUAAAGGACUUUUGUCCGGGAGCAAAUGCUGGUGGCUAACAUCCACCGGAGCUGAGAGUACCGGAAGAAUAAGCACCGGCUAACUACGUGCCAGCCGCCGCGGUAAAAC
rnacentral:rRNA from 1 species